rnacentral:rRNA from 1 species
GACGAACGCUGGCGGCGUGCUUAACACAUGCAAGUCGAACGGAAAGGCCCUGCUUUUGUGGGGUGCUCGAGUGGCGAACGGGUGAGUAACACGUGAGUAACCUGUCCUUGACUUUGGGAUAACUUCAGGAAACUGGGGCUAAUACCGGAUAGGAGCUCCUGCUGCAUGGUGGGGGUUGGAAAGUUUCGGCGGUUGGGGAUGGACUCGCGGCUUAUCAGCUUGUUGGUGGGGUAGUGGUUUACCAAGGCUUUGACGGGUAGCCGGCCUGAGAGGGUGGCCGGCCACAUUAGGACUGAGGUACGGCCCAGACUCCUACGGGAGGCAGCAGUGGGGAAUAUUGCACAAUGGGCGGAAGCCAGAUGCAGCAGCGCCGCGUGCGGGAUGACGGCCUUCGGGUUGUAAACCGCUUUCGCCGGUGACGAAGCGUGAGUGACGGUAAUGGGUAAAGAAGCACCGGCUAACUACGUG